AACGAACGCUGGCGGUAUGCUUUACACAUGCAAGUCGAACGGGUAAGAGCCGUAGCAAUACGGAAUUCUGCUAGUGGCAAACGGGUGAGUAACGCGUGGGAACCUACCUUAUAGUACGGAAUAGCCCUGGGAAACUGGGAUUAAUACCGUAUACGCUCUACGGAGGAAAGAUUUAUCGCUAUAAGAUGGGCCCGCGUUAGAUUAGCUAGUUGGUGAGGUAAUGGCUCACCAAGGCGACGAUCUAUAGCUGGUUUGAGAGGAUGAUCAGCCACACUGGAACUGAGACACGGUCCAGACUUCUACGGGAGGCAGCAGUGGGGAAUAUUGGACAAUGGGCGAAAGCCUGAUCCAGCAAUACCGCGUGAGUGAUGAAGGCCUUAGGGUUGUAAAACUCUUUUAGUGGGGAAGAUAAUGACGGUACCCACAGAAAAAGCACCGGCUAACUCCGUGCCAGCCGCCGCUGUAA
rnacentral:rRNA from 1 species